rnacentral:rRNA from 1 species
UCGGGAAUCUUGCGCAAUGGGCGAAAGCCUGACGCAGCAACACCGUGUGGGCGACGAAGGCCUUCGGGUCGUAAAGCCCUGUUGUUGGGGACGAAGGGCGAAGGGUUAAUAGCCCCUAGCCUGACGGUACCCUUCGAGGAAGCCCCGGCUAACUACGUGCCAGCAGCCGCGGUAAUACGUAGGGGGCGAGCGUUGUCCGGAAUUAUUGGGCGUAAAGAGCGUGUAGGCGGUUCGGUAAGUCUGCCGUGAAAACCUGGGGCUCAACCCCGGGCGUGCGGUGGAUACUGCCGGGCUAGAGGGUGGUAGAGGCGAGUGGAAUUCCCGGUGUAGCGGUGAAAUGCGCAGAUAUCGGGAGGAACACCAGUAGCGAAGGCGGCUCGCUGGGCCAUUCCUGACGCUGAGACGCGAAAGCUAGGGGAGCGAACAGGAUUAGAUACCCUGGUAGUCCUAGCCGUAAACGAUGAACACUAGGUGUGGGGGAGUCGAGUCCCCCUGUGCCGAAGCCAACGCG